GAAAUAGACUUCAGGGUCGUGCAUGUGUUCAUGAGGAGGAGACACAUGAAGAGCAUCCGUGGACACGUGUGCACAGGAGGAGAGCUGCAGAUGGUGGAUGCUCUCAGAGCUCGUGGACCUGCAGCUUGGCUGCUCUUGUUCUAUGUUCUAUGUGACACCUGUAAGUGGCGAGCUGACGGCGUGUCAUCUAAACUCGCUGGAAAUCAAGCUGGGAGUUUUGACUCGCCGUCAAAGGGCAACGUGACAGCUUCCAAUUCGAAGCUGCCACUCUCCCAGACGAGAGGCGCCGAACACGGCGUCAACUUUUCAGAUGCAGGACACAUUUUUCUUUUCUUUUUUUCUCUUGUUUUUUUCUUCUGGGAGAUGAAAUGUGUCAUUUCAUGCGGCCUGGAGAAAGAAGUGUGAGACGUGGAGACACCAAAGACACCGUCUCCAUCACGCUGCACAGCACACCCAUGAUCCACGUUUCUGACUCGUUCAGCCGCUCUGGACUCUCUUCAUCUCCCCGGCAUCGACCUACGAGUCUGCGAGACGCAGCGCAGCCAGAAAGGCUACCGCCAAGAUGAACAAAAGAAAAAGAAGCUCCACUCAACUCCUUUCAUGAAUCGUUAUCCCGUCCCUCCAGGGCACGGAGCGCCACAGAACACAGAGUGCAUGCUGGGAGACGAGCGCGCCUCCUCGCCGCCCUUUAUGAGCUCCAGAUUGCUAAGUGUCAGAAACCUGGUGUGCCGAGCUAAGAGGCGACAACGAAGGGCAUCUGCAGCGGCAGCAGGAGACUCGGAGAGUGAGGAGUCAAACAUUAGGAGCCACAAACGUCAGGAGCCAAAAACAUCAUGAGCCACAAACAUCGGGAGCCACAAACAUCAUGAGCCAAAAACAUCAGAAGUCACAAAAAUCAUGAGCCACAAAUAUCAGGAGCCAACAGCAUUAGGAGCCACAAACAUCGGGAACCACAAACAUCAGGAGCCACAAACAUCAGAAGCCACAAACAUCGGGAGCCACAAACAUCAGAAGCCACAAACAUCAGAAGCCACAAACAUCAGGAGCCACAAACAUCAGGAGCCACAAACAUGAGGAGCCACAACAAACAUCGGGAGCCACAACAAACAUCAGGAGCCACAAACAUCGGGAGCCACAAACAUCGGGAGCCACAAACAUCGGGAGCCACAAACAUAAGGAGCCACAAACAUCAGGAGCCACAAACAUCGGGAACCACAAACAUCGGGAACCACAAACAUCAGGAGCCACAAACAUCGGGAGCCACAAACAUCGGGAACCACAAACAUCAGGAGCCACAAACAUAAGGAGCCACUAACAUCGGGAGCCACAAACAUCAGGAGCUACAAACAUCAGGAGCCACAAACAUCAGGAGCCACAAACAUGAGGAGCCACAACAAACAUCGGGAGCCACAACAAACAUCGGGAGUCACAAACAUCGGGAGCCACAAACAUCGGGAGCCACAAACAUAAGGAGCCACAAACAUUAUGAGCCAUAAACAUAAGGAGCCACAAACAUCGGGAGCCACAAACAUCGGGAGCCACAAACAUCGGGAGCCACAAACAUCGGGAGCCACAAACAUCGGGAGUCACAAACAUCGGGAGCCACAAACAUCGGGAGCCACAAACACGCUGUCUGGGGUUUGGAGGCCUCAUGAGCAAAAACAACAGCUGACUGCCGCUUCCCUGCACGCUGGUUACGUCUCAAGACGUUUGAUCCAGGGACUUUUGUCUCUUCAACUGUACGACAGCCCAGUGUGCGCCGCAGCAU
ensembl:lncRNA